rnacentral:rRNA from 1 species
UACGUAGGGGGCAAGCGUUGUCCGGAAUUAUUGGGCGUAAAGCGCGCGCAGGCGGUUGUUUAAGUCUGGUGUAUAAACCAAGGGCUCAACCUUUGGACGCAUUGGAAACUGGGCAACUGGAGUGUAGGAGAGGAAAGUGGAAUUCCACGUGUAGCGGUGAAAUGCGUAGAGAUCGGGAGGAACACCAGUGGCGAAGGCGGCCUUCUGGACCAAUACUGACGCUCAUGCACGAAAGCGUGGGGAGCAAACAGG